ensembl:lncRNA
CCAAUGCUUUGCUGAACUGUUUAAUCUUUGUAGAGGUUUGUUUUUAAACGUGUAUUUCUUAUUAUAUAUAAUAAUGGUAAUAUUAAGAAUCUUUUAAAAAAAAUCUGUGAAAUUAACAUGCUUGUGUAUAGCUUUCUAAUAUAUAAAUAUAUAUAAUAAUGAUUUUUUGUUGGUUUCUUAGUGAAGUUUCUAUGUGCUGUUGCACAUGUUGUCUGGUUUGUUUCAUUUUAACUCUGAACAGGGCUGUUUGGGCGGGGUGUUUAGACUAACCUUAAAAACCAGCUGGAAAGCAUUGCCAGGGUUGAAGCCUGAAUGCUGAAAAACCUAAUUUCUAGUGGAAAAUGUCACGAGGCUGAAUCUGGAGACGACACAGAAAUAAAUGUUGACACGUAACGUACACGAUUGUCACACUGAUGAGGAAAUAUGACAGAGCCGCAGUCUCCGGAUGCAUUUUUAUGCAUCCCGAUAUUUCGUUAGGAGUCCAAAUUAUUAUAAUUUAAUAGUCACAGUCAUAAAACAUAGAUUUGACCUCAUCGAUUUUGAAUACCACCUUCAAUUUUCAACCCAGUCUACCUUGUGUUCGAGAUGCCGCUCAGACGCAAACUGUAAAAUCUUCCUUUGAAUCGCAUUAACGUAAUGCGAUUUAUGCAUCGUGAUUAAGUACUCUUGUUUUCAAACCUAAUUUAAUUCUGUGUCGCUCCAGUCUCGAAAACAGGGUUCCACAUCCUUUACCACACUGUCGCAGACAGUUCAGCGUAAGACACAAAACAGAACAAACUGAUCAUGCUGGUAUGGGAGAAGCACAAUUGUUUAUUCUUGAUGAAUAGCUUUGAUUUUCUCUUUUUUAAACAAUGAAACUAGCCACAUAUCUCUCCGCCUCCCACACCCGUAUCUGCUGUCACUUAAGUGUUAUGAUAUUUCUAUGUGCAUAUUUCAUGCAGGUUCACUAGGUUGUUACUGUAUACAGUCUGUGUAGUCAAAUGGGGCAGAGCCUCUAUAACAGUGUUUUUCUUCUUCUUCUUUUUUUUAAACUUCAAUAGAAAAAAAAAGGUUGGGAAAAAAAUAAACAUGAUGUUUCAGGCAGCGUAAGUGUGGAGAAACCAAAGCCAGUGGCAUUUCUGUGUUGUAAAGUCAGCUUUUAUUUUCACAUUCAUUUAUGGGUUUUUUUUUUCUUUUGCAAGCAUUGAAACAAGAUAAUAAAAGAUUCUGCUUAAAUUCACAACUGUUUUCACAUUUCACUUUCAGUUAGUUAUUGUAGCUUUAGCCAUCAAACUGCAUUGUCCAUAGGAAUCGUAUUAAUUUACCUGUUUUCUUGUUCAUUUGUCUCCCUGUGCAGCGUAUCGAAAAAGGUUACAUGGGAAAAAAAAACAAAAAGAAAAGGAAAAACGCAUUUUCUAUUUACAAUUUGUUACUUAACUCGGAAUCAUUCAGGCCCGUGUGAAAGCACUACUUGUUUUUCACUUCAUCAAUCAACAUUACACACUGCUUGCUCGCUGAAGAAAAUAAUGCCAACAUGUCCUGACAGUUAAUUAGAGUGCUAUAGUUUUGACAGUAUUUUUAACCAAAGACAUGGAGAAAGCUUGUCUUUAUAUCUUUGAUGUUGUUUUUUCUUCUUCUUCUUUCUACGUUUGUUCAAUUUGAAGCCAAUUUUUUUCUUCAUCUGUUGAUCAGUUGUUCUUUGUCAUUACUAUAUCAGACUAAAUGUUGGUACCUCAAAAUUGACCCAAGCAGUACCUCAGCUGAUUUUUUGAUAAGUCACUUAACGUGCAAAGGGGAGACCAUUCACCUGUACAGCCAUGUGUAAUAACAAUUGCUUAAGGUCCCAACAUUCACAUGCUACGGGAUUCUUUGUUGCUCCUCUGUGUUUGUGGUUUAUUUAAGUUGUACUCAAAAGCUGAAAUUAAAAAAAAAAAAAGAGUAAUAUGUUAAAAUACUUAAAAAGUCAGUCUGUAGUAUCAAUGUAGCUUGUAUAAACCUGAUGAUGGGGGGGACGUUUGUAACUAAGGUUUUUUGGAAUGCAGGAGCGGCUUUCAGCGGCAUAAGCUGGCCUUUGUCGCCACUUGAGACUAAGAUGGUAUUAAAUUAAAAUCACAUCUCUGUAACUCAAGGGACUUGAUUCAGCUGUAUGUAGUGAAAACGUAUGGGGAUGAAAUAAAAGUCUCCUCUGCAGGAGGGAAAGGCUAUUUGUAUUUUGCAGAGAUUUCAGUAAAGUUACUGGCUUUCUUAGUUAUCCUGAUGUGACUUGGUGUGAUUUCAUUGUGUUUGACUUGUUUCUACAUGCAUCCCAUACAGCGAUUGCUUUCAUACCAUGCAGACUCAAAAAACAUAUCAACACAAAGGGAUUCCAUGA